rnacentral:rRNA from 1 species
UACGUAGGGUGCGAGCGUUAAUCGGAAUUACUGGGCGUAAAGCGUGCGCAGGCGGUUCUCCACGUCCGUUUUGAAAGCCCCGGGCUCAACCUGGGAAUGGCAGUGGAAACUAGGGGACUGGAAUCUGGCAGAGGGGGGUGGAAUGCCGCGUGUAGCAGUGAAAUGCGUAGAGAUGCGGCGGAACACCGAUGGCGAAGGCAGCCCCCUGGGCUGAGAUUGACGCUCAGGCACGAAAGCGUGGGGAGCAAACAGG